CGAGAGCAGAGCAAGAAGCUCUCUAUAAAAACCUAGUCUGGCGCAGCUCUAGGAUAAAUUAAUAGUUUGGAGGGCCCCAGUCCAGAAAUAAUCUGAGAAUUGCAAUGGAGUUGCAAUUCACUUUCCCAGCUUGAUCUUAUUUUAACCAAGGGCACCUCAUCUGCUGGAGAUAAAAUAUCAUGAAGGUAUGAUGCCUGACCUAUAGGUUUACCACUCACCUUGAGGACCACAUCAGUACCACUAACAAGGUGGUGCUUGAGCGAAAGCAAUUAUUGGUCUUGGCAACAUUGCAAAGUUGGAAGAAUCUGAGAAAAUCUGGAUUUUGAAGAUUAAAUUCUGUGAUCAGUUGGGCGAGUUGAUUAUUGUUGUACAAGGCACCAUGAGUUUUAUCUGAGGUUAGUCUUCUGUAAUAUGAAUAAAUGUAGGUGUUGCAUGGGAAAGAAAACCCAUAAUGAUGACUACGUUGGUGCCAGAUUUUCCAGGUAUUAAUGACUACCAUGUUGGAUGUAAAUCUGGUAGGGAACAAAGAUAUAUACUGCAUGCUAGUACUUGAAGUGAAGAGGUGCAUAAGUUUGAUUCAAUCCUGCACCAACUUAUUUGAAUCAGAGUGUUAUCUUGUGAACACUGGCAGCCCAUUGGUAACCAUUUAGGUUUGGGAGACCUAGGCAUCCUUUAGAUCUAGCCCUCAUCAACAAGGCUCUGUUAGCCCUCGCCUGAGCACCUGACAAGAUAAAAGUUGAAAUAAUUUCAUUGCUGAACUUCACAGAAGGAAUUCUUUUUUCACCUGAAGGAAUGCAUUGGAACAGUUACCUAGUCAAUACGUUAAUUUUAAUUGCUUUGACCCUGCUUACUAGACACAAUAAAACAGUUGCACCUCUGCAGGCCUGAUUUUAUCACUUAGGUUACAGUUUCAAAAUUCUUUUCUCUCUGUGUGCGGGUCCAUCUAGUAUUGGUUAUGCUCAGGUAUUUCAAUUCUGAGUUUGAUACUUUAAAAGCUGUGGAUGAUUAUGAUAUUUCCAUGGUCAUUUGGUUAAUUCGUAAAUGCCAGACGUUCCCAGCAGACCCUCCCUAUAUGCUUGGGCCUGCCAAGUCUGUCUGGCUUUCUCCUCUUCCAGCGGAUCCCACUCACCACCAGGUGGUGAUCAGUGGACACCUCAGCCACUCACCCUUUCAGACACUUCACCCAAGUGGCGACUGUGGCGCUACCUCGCUCACGUUAGACUGUAACUCUCCUCCAAUGAGCUCCGCGCCUCUCCAUUCUCACUUUGGACGGAUCAGCCAAUCUCGCUUCGUCUCACAAUGGACCGUCGAAUCUACGUCCUAGCUCACAAUGGACAUCAGCCAAUCAAGGCGAAGCACUACGAGCCAAUCCACGUACGAGUUCACAAUGGAGCUCAGCCAAUCCACGUACGAGUUCACAAUGGAGCUCAGCCAAUCAAGGUGAACGGGCCUCUUUAGAUUAACAAAAUAACUUUAAAGUAUUUUUGUUUGAAAUUAAGUUGCAAGGACGGCUGAAUAAAUAGAAUUUGUUGGUCCAGCGCCGUUAAAGACAAUUUCCACAUCGCUUCAUUGUGCUGUCACCUCUGCCCACAGCAAAAAAACAACUUUACUAUGAGCUUCAAACCAAAGAGCCAUAAAGCCCUGGGAGAUGAGGAGUGGAUGGCAAGGCUUAGGGGAUUUUCCAGCGAUGGGGUUUGGCCGUCAAAUGCAGGGAAUAGACCUGCCCCGAGGCAGAAGAAGUGGUAUGCUCUCUAUCAGAAGGACCCCUAGCCUGGCACCUUCCUCUGUGAGGACCUCUGGCCCCCCUCCAUCCUCUGUGAGGACCCCUAGCCUGGCACCAUCCUCUGUGAGGACCCCUAGCCUGGCUUCAUCAUCCACAACACCGACACACAUCUGCCAGACAGUUUCACCUAUUUCCACAUCUUUUGUUGUUCUCUCCAAGAGGAGCCUGCAGCGUGUGUGCAACAGUCAGAUGCAGCUGGUGAUGCAGGACCUGGCUGGUUGCCGAGUGAGAUGAGGAAGACCAUUCCUGUACAGGACCAGAGAUGGAUGGGAAAUACCCUCUUUCAUGCCGGCAAAGUGCGCCCAGAUUUCAAGUUGUGGUAUGAGCCUCCUGUACCAGCCCUCAUCUACCACCAGGUUCCAACACCCGAUUGUUUUUUUACCCACCGGCUUCUGGUGUGGAUGCCCUAUCAUCAGUGGAAAGUUAGGGUGUUCUGCCAAGCUUGUGGGAAGCAUCUUACGGGGGCUGGUGUUCCACCACAUGCUCCUGCUCCGGCUCCCACUAAAGCACCCCGAAAACUGACCCGCAAGGUUUUGCACAAUACAUGCAAAAAAUGUGGGCAGUUUAGAAUUGCUGAGACAGGACACAGCCAGUAUAGAGGACAUAUUUACUGUCCCUCCAAUGAAAGCAUGACAAAGGAGCUUUGGCUAUAACACAUUAAAAAGCAAAAAUAAAUGUGAAUCUGUUUCCUCUUUGUCUUGUUUUAAAUAUGAAAGCUUUUACAAACAGUUUUAUUGUGUACAGUUACUCCUGU